AGCGCGUGAACUAAGGCGAGGCUAGCUAGUUGCUUGACACUGGUUUUGUAGUAGUAUCACGAAGAAGGCAUCUUCGUUUGUACGAUCAUGGUGCGCCGCUCCCACUGCUCUUCGUCUUCGUCAUCGUCUUCUUCGGCGCGAAGUAGCGCGCUCCUAGUCCUUGCUGCCCUUUUCAUCUGCUGUUCUCUGCCAGUUGGUGUAUACGGAAAGCGCGAGGGAUCGGUGCCACCGCCGCCGCAUGCCGGGGGGUCGAACAAUCCGUGUCCAGGGUGCGGGCGCCGACACUUGGUUCCGCUGCCGCCACCGUCGCCACCACCGAUGGGCACCCGUGCACCACAAGACCCUGCAGAUCGGCAGGGACGUCGACGCCGUCUCGUGGCCAUGAAUUAGAGCACCGAUGCGGCGGUGAGCCGGUGGACGCUGCUAUGCUUGACUUCGGCAGCUCCGAUGCUAAAGAACUGAAGAAAUAAUGGUCACCAUCAACUGUACUACUACUACUCAAUACUGGAGUAUUAUUUUGUAAGUCAUUUUAUUAGCACAGAGAAGUGAGAACGGGCAAAAAUCCACUGAAACGAACUCAGUUUCCCCCAAAAGUGAAAGAGAAGCAAUUUCUGGCACAUCGGAAAAAUGACACAAACACGAGGCUCCCUACAGCAAAAGGGAGCUCGGAGUUGAGAUCCUCUUUUGUUUUCCAUGUUUUCAGGACAAGAACUAAUCAUUUGACAGAGUA